rnacentral:rRNA from 1 species
AACGAACGCUGGCGGCAGGCCUAACACAUGCAAGUCGAGCGGUAAGGCCCUUUCGGGGGUACGACGAGCGGCGAACGGGUAGGAGUAACAACGUGGGUGACCUGCCCUCCAGCUCUGGGAGUAAGACCUGGGAAACCGGGUACGUAAUACCGGAUAUGACUCCAUGACGCAUGUUGUGGGGUGGAAAGCCUUGUGCGGCUGAGGAU